rnacentral:rRNA from 1 species
UACAGAGGUCUCAAGCGUUGUUCGGAUUCAUUGGGCGUAAAGGGUGCGUAGGUGGCGCCGUAAGUCAGGUGUGAAAUUUCGGAGCUUAACUCCGAAACUGCAUUUGAUACUGCGGUGCUUGAGGACUGGAGAGGAGACUGGAAUUUACGGUGUAGCAGUGAAAUGCGUAGAGAUCGUAAGGAAGACCAGUGGCGAAGGCGGCGACCUGGUCCAUUACUGACGCUGAGGCGCGACAGCGUGGGGAGCAAACAGG